rnacentral:lncRNA from 1 species
UGUUAUAUACUAGUUUAUAUAUUCACAAAAAUAAAACUCAAACUCUACCACCACCAACUACCACACACCACCAUCAAUUACAUGUGUCACUAUCACAACGAUCACUCCUUCCAAAUCAGAUCUGCACACAAAAUCAUAAAUUCAAAACUUAAGUAUUAUAUUCAUAGUUUAAUAAACCAGUCAAUUCACUAAUUCAAUGUUGAUGUAAAUUAAUUAUAAAAACUAAUAUAUUCUUACAUAUUUAUACAACACAAAAAAUAAAUAUAUUCACAGCAAAUUAAUACAAACAUUCUUACAUAAAUUAUUCAUAUUUUAACACAAAACUCAUAGCUUAAUAUAAUCAAUUCACAGUUUAAUACAGUUAAUCCACAUCAUAAUACAAUUAAUUCACAGUUUACUACAAUAAAUUCAUAGUUUAAUACAGUCAAUUCACAACUUAAUACAAUCAAUUUACAUUUUAAUACACAAAAUUCUCAUCUUAAUAUAAUAAGUUCAUUGUUUAAUACAUAAAAAUUAUACAUUCACAUCCAUGUUCUCAACUUAAAACUUACAUUUACACAUUUGAAUAUGGAGGCUAGUGCUUCUUUUUAAGUUUAUUUACACAAUAUUCACAAUUUAAAUUUUACAUAAUUUAUUCAAAAUUAGAUAUAUAUAUAUAUAUAUAUAUAUAUAUAAUGUUUCUUUCAUCUCUUAUUUCAGAAGCAAACGCAAAGCUCAUAAUUUUUUUUACAACUUAAUACAAUUAAUUCACAACUUAAUGUAAUCAUUUCACAGUUUAGUCGACAAAAAUGCACAGCUUAAUACAAUAAAUUCACAGUUUAAUACUCAAAAUUUUUUACGUUCAUAACCAUAUCUCGACUUAAAACAUAAAUUUAUACUUUAAUAUAUGGAGGUUAGUGUUUCUUUCAAAGUUUAUUUAUACAAUAUUUAUGGUUUAAAUUUUACAUGCUUUAUUCAAAAAUAAAGAAAAUUAUAUAUGUAUAUAAUGCAUUUUCAACUCAUAUUUCAGAAGCAAAUACAAAAUACAUAAAAAAAUUUACAAAUUUAUACAGUUUAUUCACAACUUAAUACAAUCCAUAUACAGUUCCGAUAUAUUAAUCCAAUAACUUUGAUAUAUUAAAAUUUUCUCAUGGCUAAUGAUAAUAAUAUUUAUUUAUACUCUCAAUAUUAGUUCUAAUUACAAUUUUCAAAUAAAUCACAUCCUCAAGAUAAAUACAUACAAAAUAACGUGUAUAUAUAUAAUUAAUUAACAAAGUUACUUCAUCCAUAUCAUAAUUAUAUAUAAUAUAAUUAUAGUAUACGAAUAUCCACUAAGUGUACUUAAUGCGUCUACUUUAUUAUAUACAUAUACACACGCCUAACAUUUAUUCCACCCACCCUAAAUAAUUAAAGUAUGUAUACUUUAAGUGUACUUAAUGCGUCUAUUUUAUUUAUUUUAUUUAUUUAUUUAUUUGAAACGACAAAUCUAACAUACUCCAAAACUACUCCUUAAAUUUACCUAUGUCCACAACAUGACUUGAACCCUCAACCUCAAAUAAGGAGGGUAACACCGGAUACCAUUGGGCUACAAGCCCUUUGGUGUUUACUUUAUUAUAUACAUAUACACACGCCUAACAUUUAUUCCACCUACCCUAAAUAAUUAAAGUAGGUAUACCUACGGUAGCAAUUAAAGUGUGAAUUUAAGAAAAUAACGUGUGAAUUUAAGAAGGUACCCGGGUAAAUCAUUACCAUUUAAUCUUCUUCCUCAUGCGACUAGCCAUUCACCAGAGUUCAUAUAUGAACGUUACACACACCCUCGGAUAGCCUUUUGAGUUGUUAUCACCGACUUUCACCAUCAACAUAUACAUCCGCCGAAUUUGAAACUAAAACAAACGAAUAUUGUCGAUCUCGCAAAGAAACACUGAAGAUGGCUCAAACCGAAGGCAAGAGAUUUCAAUUAUCAAAACUCGUAUUCAAUAGAUCUAACAGGAUCUAGACUAUAUACAUUGUCGGAGAUAAGAAAAAACAACAAUAAAUCACUCAAUCUAAUCACAUCUGAGCAAAACCAGAAGGAAAAUCACCGGAAUCAUGGAUCUGCCAACCGACCACUACAGACGGCACGCGGAGGUGACCAGGAAGACCAUUUUUUGUCCGAUUUGCGCAAAUAGUUUACUACAUCUAAACAAUUAUAAAAAAAAGUCGUGUUUGGAGAAACCAAACCAAUAAAAUAAAAAAUAAAAAUUGGAAUUAUUUACAAAUAUACAUUAAUACAUAAUUAAUUACUUGUGCAUUAUUAAUCAUGAACACUUUUUAUACACCACAUUUGAUGUAUAUAAUCAAUUGUUAUUGAAUUAUUCGUUAUGUUUCACUAAUAGUUUUGUAUUAAUACAUGAAAUUAAGUAAACUAACCAUUAUAAAUGAGUUUUUUUUUUUAAAGAAAUCAGUUUUUAAAAAUGGCCACUUACUUCCAAAUGUCUCAUCCCAGAUUUAGUCAUCAAAUUUCGGAGGUUUUUUUUCCAAAGCAAUAGCUCUCCUUAUGUCUUAAAUGUCAUUUUUAAAGUGGUUAAUGGCACCACUUUUCCAUCAAAUGUUUGAUUCCAUGCCCUAAGAUCAUAUAUUGUUCAGAAUUAUUAGGGAAAUCCCCGGAAAAGUCUCAAUAUUUUACCAUAAUUUACGAAAAACUCUCAAACUAAAAUUUGUUUACGAAAAAGUCUCAAUUACCGGUAAAAAUGACGAUUUGGCCCUAUUUUCCCGGUUUAUCGGUUUCAUUACUUACUCGGUUUUAAUAAAGUCCCAUUAUUUUAGCAUAAUUUAGGGGUGUUCGUUUGGAUGGAUCGGUUUGAUCCGAUCCAAUCAAGUGAAUCCAAAUUGAUUUCAGUUUUCAAAACAUGGAUUCGAAUACUCCAAACUAAAUUUAAAUCCAAUCCGAUCCGAUCCAAUUACAAUUCGGUUGGAUCGGUUUUUAUUAUUCGGUUUUUAAAAACCGAAACAUUUUAAAACGACAAAUAAUUAUAAUAUUACUAAACUUUACACAAUAAGCAAAAACAAAUUACUUAAUUGUGAUUUGAAAUUUAUAAACAACUAAUAAGAAGAUAUAUUAUAGUUAAAUAUUUUAUAGAUAGAAAACUUUUAAGUGAAAAUGCAUAUUAAUGUUUUUUUAUCGGGUGAAACGUUCCUAUUUGAAAAAAAAUUUACAAAAUUAAUAAAUAACUAUAGAUAUAUAUUAUAAAUAGAUAAAAAAAUGUUUAUUCAGUUUUUUGGACUAUUCGGUUCUUAUUUUAUAAACCAAAACCAAUCCGAAAUCCAAAAUAAUAAUUCGGUUUUGUUGAAAACCAGUCCAAAAAUCUGAAUAUCCGAACCAAAUUGUCCAAUUGGAUAAUUCGGUUUUAUCCGAAUAGUGAACAGUCCUACCAUAAUUUAUGAAUAAGUCCCAAAUUAUGGUAAAAUAAUGGGACUUUAAUGAAAAUUGUCGUAAAAUAACGAGACUUUAAUGAAACCGAGUAAGUAUUGAAACCAAUAAACCGGAAAAAGGGUCAAAUCGUCAUUUUAUCCGGUAAUCGGGACUUUUUCAUAAACCAAUUUUACUUUGGGACUUUUUCGUAAAUUAGGGUGAAAUAUUAGGACUUUUCCGAAUAUUUCCCUAUUUAUUAUGCUUGUUUAGUUAUUUGUUAGAUUAAAUAAAAAAUGAAUUUUUUUUCUUAAAAUUGAAAUUUGUUUAAUAGAAUGUCACUCAUUCUUGAAAUUCUCGAGGAGGGGGGGUUGUUAAAAUUCGAAAUUAUAGCCUGAAAUCUGGAAUGUUAGUCCAGAAUUUCGAAAUGUCGAUCAAAACUGUAAUUUUUUUUCAUAACUUUUUUUCUUAGUCCAGAGUGUUAUUCUAAACUAAAUGGUUAUUUUUUUCAACAACAAAUUUUGUCGGUGAUUUUCUUCAAUUAGGAUAAUGGCGUGACCUCUGGACUAAGGAACCUCAACCUCAAAUAAGGAAGGCAACACUGGAUACCGUUGGGUUACAAGCCCUUUGGUGUCUAUUUUAUUAUAUACAUAUACACACGCCUAACAUUUAUUCCACCUACCCUGAAUAAUUAAAGUAUGUAUACCUACGGUAGCAAUUAAAGUGUGAAUUUAAGAAAAUAAAGUGUGAAUUUAAGAAUGUACCUGGGUAAAUCAUUACCAUUUAAUCUUCUUCCUCAUGCGACUAGCCGUUCACGAGAGUUCAUAUAUGAACGUUACACACAUCCUCAGAUAGCCUUUUGAGUUGUUAUCACUGACUUUCACCAUCAACAUAUACAUUCGCCGAAUUUGGAACUAAAACAAACGAAUAUUGUCGAUCUCGCAAAGAAGCACUGAAGACGGCUCAAACCGAAGGCAAGAGAUUUCAAUUAUCAAAACUCGUAUUCAAUAGAUCUAACCGGAUCUACACUAUAUACAUUGUCGGAGAUAAGAAAAAACAACAAUAAAUCACUCAAUCUAAUCACAUCUGAGCAAAACCAAAAGGAAAAUCACCGAAAUCAUGGAUCUGCCAAACGACCACUACAGACGGCACGCGGAGGUGGUGCUUUGUCGGAUAUCGCAUAUAUGGAGUGCUUACUGGUUUGCUGGAGGUGAUGGGUUCGUCGCCAGACAAGGUGACAACGGUGGUCGAUCGCGAUGGCGGUGACCAGGAAGACCACUUUUUGUCUGAUUUGUUCACCAAAAAGUGGUAUUUUGCGUCGUCAAAGGUUACGACAGAUGAAGAGAGGUGACGGUGGUUGGGCUACCGUCAUCGGUGGUGGUGGUGUGGCCUCCGUCGGCGGCGGCUUUGGUGGUGUUCAUCAUUGGUACACAAAGAUAAGUGUAAUAGAUGAGUUUAGGGAUUUGUUGUUAGAAAUAAUUAUAAUCACGUCUAAAACAAAAAUCUGACAGAUAAAAUAUAAAAUAUAAAAGUGGGUUUAAGUUUUAUAGUAACUACAAAUAUGCCAUUUGUGUUUUACUUUUUUUAAUUUGUAAAUAUUUAUUUGAAAAAUGUCAGAUAUAACAUAAUAAAUAAAGAAAAAAAUAUUGAUUUUUAGAGUUCUUAACAUUUAUUUGGUUCUUAUUUGAACUUAUACUAGCCGUUUACCCGCGCCAAGCGACGGGUGCGAAUAGUUUUUUCAAAAAUUAUUUUCUAGAUGUAAUAGGUUUUUUUGCGCAAGUAGUUUACUACAUCUAAACAAUUAUAAAAAAAAGUCGUGUCUGGAGAAACCAAACCAAUAAAAUAAAAAAUAAAAAAUUGGAAUCAUUUAUACAUUAAUACAUAAUUAAUUAAUUGUGCAUUAUUAAUCAUACAAAACUUUUUAUACACCACAUUUGAUGUAUAUAAUAAAUUGUUAUUGAAUUAUUCGUUAUGUUUCACUAAUAGUUUUGUAUUAAUACAUGAAAUUAAGUAAACUAACCAUUAUAAAUGAGUUUUUUUUAAAGAAAUAAUCAUCUGUUCAGUUUUUAAAAAUGGCCACUUACUUCCAAAUGUCUCAUCCCAGAUUUAGUCAUCAAAUUUCGGAUUUUUUUUUUCCAAAGCAAUAUCUCUUCUUAUGUCUUAAAUGUCAUUUUUAAAGUGGUUAAUGGCAUCACUUUUCCAUCAAAUGUGUGAUUCCAUGCCCUAAGAUCAUAUAUUGUUCAUAAUUAUUAAGGAAAUCUCCGGAAAAGUCUCAAUAUUUUACCCUAAUUUACGAAAAACUCUCAAACUAAAAUUUGUUUACGAAAAAAUCUCAAUUACCGGUAAAAAUGACGAUUUGGCCCUAUUUUCCCGGUUUACCGGUUUCAUUACUUACUCGGUUUUAAUAAAGUCCCAUUAUUUUAGCAUAAUGAAAUAAUUUAUGAAUAAGUCCCAAAUUAUGGUAAUAUAAUGGGACUUUAAUGAAAAUUAUCGUAAAAUAAUGAGACUUUAAUGAAACCAAGUAAGUAUUGAAACCAAUAAACCGGAAAAAAAGGGUCAAAUCGUCAUUUUAUCCGGUAAUCGAGACUUUUUCAUAAACCAAUUUUACUUUGGGACUUUUUCGUAAAUUAGGGUGAAAUAUUAGGACUUUUUGCGAAUAUUUCCUUAUUUAUUAUGCUUGUUUAGUUAUUUGUUAGAUUAAAUAAAAAAUGAAUUUUUUUUCUUAAAAUUGAAAUUUGUUUAAUAGAAUGUCACUCAUUCUUGAAAUUCUCGAGGAGGGGGGGGUUGUUAAAUUUCGAAAUUAUAGCCUGAAAUCCGGAAUGUCAGUCCAGAUUUUCGGAAUGUCGAUCCAAACUGCAAUUUUUUUUUCAUAACUUUUUUUCUUAGUCCAGAGUGUCAUUCCAAACUAAAUGGUUAUUUUUUUCAAAAACAAAUUUUGUUGGUGAUUUUCUUCAAUUGGUGAUUUUUUUCAACAACAAAUUUUGUUGGUGAUUUUCUUAGUCCAGAGGUCACUCCACUGUCAUUAAAGAUUAUGCAAGCACAUCAAAACCCCAUUAAAUAAUCAAAUUAAAUAAGCAUUUUUAUGAACUAAUUUGGAUACUAAAAAGCCAACCAGGUUAGUAACUUAAUCAUGCAAGAUUAGAUUAACUAUAUUUGUCCAAUAAACUGAUUUCGGCAUAAAAAAUUCAUUAUCUUGAAUUACUUCAUGCAUUAAAUCCCUGCCUCAAGAAAAGCAUCCUUGUUAAUAUAAGAACUGGUUAAAAUUUGAAGCUACAUUCUUAAUGAACAUAACAAUACAAAUAUAAAAAAAUAGUAUACAUAUCUUGAUACUGAUAGUUUUUUUGAUGAUAAAGUCACUUGUUCUUCCAUAAACUUUUCAUACACAUAUACUACCUACAUAUAGAGAGAAACUUCAUCUUAUUAGCAUUUAUAAAGGAAACAGGAAAACAAAAAGGAAAAAUACAAAUAUGCUCUUCUUUCCCUCUUCUCCAAGAUUGUACUAGGACCUUUCCUUUCCGACUUAUGUGUGUGUUGAAGGCAAUAUUGAAGGCAGUUAACAAUGAAAACUUAACAUGAAAACUUAGAAGCGUUAUAAACAUCAAAUUAGUCAACCUUAAAACUCACCAUUGAAAAGGAAAUAAGAAUGUGUAUCGAUCCAUGUGGGAAAGUGAUAGAAAAUGGAUUACCUUAAGACUCUCAUUAUAGGUUUCCUAGCAACCACACCAUUCCAGUGAACACAAACCACAAUCAAUAGAUCUUGAACUCUUCCUGAGAGUUUAGUUCUAAAUAAUUUCAUUUGUAAGGUAUUUUUUUAAAUAUUUAAACCAAAGACCACAAAGUCAAUAAGAAAUCAUGCAUAUGAACUAUAAAGGUUGGAUCUGACGUUAGAUCUUCAAAGUCAUACCAGAUUCUGAAUGAAAGCAAAGUAAAACGAUGAGGUUUUUUUACCUUCUAUGACCCAUAACAAUAUAGGUGAAAAAAUGAUACAUGAGGUUAGAUAUUCAAAGUCAAACCACAUUAUGAGUAAAAUCAAGGUAAAAAGGUGAGGUUUCGACCAAUUAUACCCAAAACACCAUAGAAAUCAUGGUCAAAAAUGGUACCUGAGGUUAAAACUUCAAAAAUAGAAAUCAAGGUCAAAUGAUGAGAGAAUAGAAUAGUAGCAUAUGCUAGAUGUUGUUAGCUAUUCGAGAGAGAUGGCGGUGGUGAACGGUGGUAAGAUGAAGUGUGACGGUGAUGAAGGUGGCUUGUUUGAUGGUAGUGAAGGUUAUGUGACAAUAAAGUUCACUGUUGGUGGGUUGUGAUGUUUGAUAUUUAGGAUUUUGGGUUUCUAAAGGAGAGAUGCGAGAGAAGAGAAAGGCGGAGGCGUUUAGCAGCGACUGUGAUUGUUUUCUCAAUGGUGAAUAUGUGAUGGGUAACUGCGUUGGAUAUGGGACUAUGGGAUGAAUUUUAGAGUAUUUUAUAGAGAGGGACACUAUUUAAGGAAGGAAGAGAUGACGACUCAUGUAGGGUUAUUCUACAAGGAAUGGGUUAUGGAGACCGAGAUAAUAGAUGAUAUAUAAAUUUUAUCUAUAGACCGAUUCCCACUUGACCGAUUCAAUUGGCAAAACCUAAGGAAGAACUCGUUCUUCUUUGACCACCUUAGUUUAAUUUGAAGAUGAGAGCAAAGACCAAUUCAAAAUGUACGUAAUUCAAUAGGAUAAGAUUUGGU